UGGGUUUUAACUUUGUUGCUCUGCAAAUGCCCAAUAAAAUGCCACUCUAUAUCCUCUGGCAGCUGGGGGACUUUAUCGACGAUUUCUUGGACGUAAUUUUCGCCAAAGCAACGGUGUCCAGCGUCGUAGACUUGGCGGAUUAGGGAAACAGGUUUGGUUUUGGAAACAGCCACGACCCGUACUAGUUCUGGUCGUGUUCCAGCUCGCUCCGCAGCUUGGCAGACCAGGAACAUGACCGACCGAAGAGCCGUGACGGCUGC
rnacentral:misc_RNA from 1 species